GGAAUAUUGCACAAUGGGGGAAACCCUGAUGCAGCGACGCUGCGUGAAGGAAGAAGUAUCUCGGUAUGUAAACUUUUAUCAGCAGGGAAGAAAAUGACGGUACCUGACUAAGAAGCCUCGGCUAACUACGUGCCAGCAGCCGCGGUAAUACGUAUGGUGCAAGCGUUAUCCGGAAUUACUGGGUGUAAAGGGAGCGUAGGUGGCAAGGCAAGUCUGAUGUGAAACCCCAAAGCUUAACUAUGGGAAUGCAUUGGAAACUGUCUAGCUAGAGUGUAGGAGAGGUAAGCGGAAUUCCUAGUGUAGCGGUGAAAUGCGUAGAUAUUAGGAGGAACAUCGGUGGCGAAGGCGGCUUACUGGACUAUAACAGACACUGAGGCUCGAAAGCGUGGGGAGCGAACA
rnacentral:rRNA from 1 species